GACGAACGCUGGCGGCGUGCCUAAUACAUGCAAGUCGAGCGAGCUUGCCUAGAUGAUUUUAGUGCUUGCACUAAAUGAAACUAGAUACAAGCGAGCGGCGGACGGGUGAGUAACACGUGGGUAACCUGCCCAAGAGACUGGGAUAACACCUGGAAACGGAAACUAGAACCGGAUAGGUAGGGAUCUCGCAUGAGGACCUUAUUAAAGGGGCUGCGGCCCUGAACAUGGAUGGACCUGCGGUGCAUUAGCUGGUUGGUGGGGUAACGGCCUACCAAGGCGACGAUGCAUAGCCGACCUGAGAGGGCGAACGGCCACAUUGGGACUGAGACACGGCCCAA
rnacentral:rRNA from 1 species